rnacentral:rRNA from 1 species
AAACCAACAGGGAUUGCCUCAGUAACGGCGAGUGAAGCGGCAAAAGCUCAAAUUUGAAAUCUAGCACCUUCGGUGUUCGAGUUGUAAUUUGAAGAUGGUAACCUUGGGUUUGGCUCUUGUCUAUGUUCCUUGGAACAGGACGUCAUAGAGGGUGAGAAUCCCGUCUGAUGAGAUGCCCAUUCCUUUGUAAGGUACUAUCGAAGAGUCGAGUUGUUUGGGAAUGCAGCUCUAAGUGGGUGGUAAAUUCCAUCUAAAGCUAAAUAUUGGCGAGAGACCGAUAGCGAACAAGUACAGUGAUGGAAAGAUGAAAAGAACUUUGAAAAGAGAGUGAAAAAGUACGUGAAAUUGUUGAAAGGGAAGGGCAUUAGAUCAGACUUGGUGUUUUACGAUUAUCUUCUCUUCUUGAGUUGUGCACUCGUAUUUCACUGGGCCAGCAUCGAUUCGGAUGGUAAGAUAAUAGCAGUUAAAUGUAGCUUUUCGGAGUGUUAUAGUUUCUGUUGAUAUUGCCUGUCUGGAUCGAGGGCUGCGUCUUUUGACUAGGAUGCUGGCGUAAUGAUCUAAUGCCGC